rnacentral:rRNA from 1 species
ACCUGGUUGAUUCUGCCGGACCCGACUGCUAUCAGAGUGGGACUAAGCCAUGCGAGUCAACAUAGCAAUAUGUGGCAUACGGCUCAGUAACACGUAGUCAACAUGCCCAGGGGACGUGGAUAACCUCGGGAAACUGAGGAUAAACCGCGAUAAGUCACUACUUCUGGAAUGGGUAAUGACUCAAAUCUACAUGGCCCCUGGAUUGGACUGCGGCCGAUCAGGCUGUUGGUGAGGUAAUGGCCCACCAAACCUGUAACCGGUACGGGCUCUGAGAGGAGGAGCCCGGAGAUGGGCACUGAGACAAGGGCCCAGGCCCUAUGGGGCGCAGCAGGCGCGAAACCUCUGCAAUAGGCGAAAGCCUGACAGGGUUACUCUGAGUGAUUUCCGUUAAGGAGAUCUUUUGGCACCUCUAAAAAUGGUGCAGAAUAAGGGGUGGGCAAGUCUGGUGUCAGCCGCCGCGGUAAUACCAGCACCCCGAGUGGUCGGGACGUUUAUUGGGCCUAAAGCAUCCGUAGCCGGUUCUACAAGUCUUCCGUUAAAUCCACCUGCUUAACAGAUGGGCUGCGGAAGAUACUAUAGAGCUAGGAGGCGGGAGAGGCAAGCGGUACUCGAUGGGUAGGGGUAAAAUCCGUUGAUCCAUUGAAGACCACCAGUGGCGAAGGCGGCUUGCCAGAACGCGCUCGACGGUGAGGGAUGAAAGCUGGGGGAGCAAACCGGAUUAGAUACCCGGGUAGUCCCAGCUGUAAACGAUGCAGACUCGGUGAUGAGUUGGCUUCUUGCCAACUCAGUGCCGCAGGGAAGCCGUUAAGUUUGCCGCCUGGGGAGUACGGUCGCAAGACUGAAACUUAAAGGAAUUGGCGGGGGAGCACCACAAGGGGUGAAGCCUGCGGUUCAAUUGGAGUCAACGCCGGA